UCACACAGUCCAAGGCAUUGUGGUUACAUUAUAUGCUUUAGACAAGCAGGAAAACCAGUGAACUGUUAUAUAAAGGUUGUUUUUUCACCCAUCUGUUUACCAACUACAUUUCAGUUCCAUCAGUUACUCAGCCUUUGUCUUUGUCUUUGUCUUUCUGCCACAGCACCUCCGGAAGCAGAAACUGCAGGUCUUAAUGAAGAUGAAUAUCAAGAACAGUAUGAUAGCAAGGAGGAAGGCCACAACAUCCAGGCUGUGAUACUCGUACCAGCUUUCAGAGGAGUCUGACAACUGAUAGUUAAAGGAAGGACGCUGGUGACCAGGAGGAG